rnacentral:rRNA from 1 species
GAUGAACGCUAGCGAUAGGCCUAACACAUGCAAGUCGAGGGGCAGCAUGGUCUUAGCUUGCUAAGGCUGAUGGCGACCGGCGCACGGGUGCGUAACGCGUAUGCAACUUGCCUCACAGACGGGCAUAACCCGUCGAAAAACGGACUAAUACCGCGUGCACUCUAGGUUGGGCAUCCAAUGUCGAGGAAAUGCAAAUCGCUGUGAGAUAGGUAUGCGUUCGAUUAGCUAGUUGGUGUGGUAACGGCCCACCAAGGCGCCGUUGGGUAGGGGAGAUGAGGGGCAGACACCCCGCACUGGAAAUGCGGCACGGACCAGAAUGCUACGGGAGGCAGGGGUGAGGAAUAUUGGGCACUGGGCGAGGGCCUGAACAAGCCAAGUCGCGUGAAAGAUGACUGUCUUAUGGAUGGUAAUCUUCUUGUGUGCGGGAAUAGCAAGAGUAACGUGUGGCUCCCUGCAUUUACCGUAUGAAUAAGCAUCGGCUAACUCCGUG